GAUGAACGCUGGCGGCGCGCCUAAUACAUGCAAGUCGAGCGAACGGACGAGAAGCUUGCUUCUCUGAUGUUAGCGGCGGACGGGUGAGUAACACGUGGAUAACCUACCUAUAAGACUGGGAUAACUUCGGGAAACCGGAGCUAAUACCGGAUAAUAUUUUGAACCGCAUGGUUCAAAAGUGAAAGACGGUCUUGCUGUCACUUAUAGAUGGAUCCGCGCUGCAUUAGCUAGUUGGUAAGGUAACGGCUUACCAAGGCAACGAUGCAUAGCCGACCUGAGAGGGUGAUCGGCCACACUGGAACUGAGACACGGUCCAGACUCCUACGGGAGGCAGCAGUAGGGAAUCUUCCGCAAUGGGCGAAAGCCCGACGGAGCAACGCCGCGUGAGUGAUGAAGGUCUUCGGAUCGUAAAACUCUGUUAUUAGGGAAGAACAUAUGUGUAAGUAACUGUGCACAUCUUGACGGUACCUAAUCAGAAAGCCACGGCUAACUACGUG
rnacentral:rRNA from 1 species